rnacentral:lncRNA from 1 species
UUUCCUCUUCUAUCAUUCAUGAAACAUAAAUUGCUUCAUCCCAUCAUCAUCCCUUCUUUUUCUUCUCAAUCUAUCCCCAAACCGUAGUAGGAUUCCCAAUUUUUUAGGAUUUUUCCCCAAUUUCAAAUCCACCCAAAGAAGCUGUACACGAAAAUCAGGGGAUAAGCUGUCCACCCAAUUACUUAUCUUCUUUCUUUUUGAUCCAUUUUAUAUCUUCGUUUCAUCAUCAUUUCAUUUCUCUCGCCUAAAUCGUCAUUCCGCCGGUAUAUCCCCUUCCAUGGCGGCCACAUACCUCAGAUUCCGGCAAAUCUAAAUUCCGCAACUUCUACCACCACUAAAAAUUAGAGAGUACAACCACAGAAAACGAAGAAGAAGCAUAGCAUGGAGACGAGAGCCACAGACUCAAAAGCGAUGAUGAAAGACCAUAACACGGUGUCAACGAUCAAGAAAUUGAGGUCCAGCAACCAUUCCCAUAUGUCCUGCGAUCUCCACCUCGGCGUGGAUCCCGAUAAACUCUGUGGGGACUAGCUCGGCGUGAUGUACGACGAGAAAAGCCUUGGCCACCGAAAAAGUGAAGUCGGCAUUCUGAAGCUCACUUCCGCCAACCGGAAAGCCGAACUCCACCCAGACAUCUCCCUCUCCCUCUCCCUCUCCCUUCUCCCUUCUCCCUCUUUCAAUUCUCACUUUAAAUGAUAUUUUCAAUUCUCACCUCUUUCUAUAGUUUCUUUUUUUCAGCAAGAUCCGUUUAAAAUUUCUGUAAAAAAAUUCUGUAUUUUGAGCAAAGCUAUCGACUUUCAUACUUUUUUAGGGCUUUUGCAUGAAAGCUUGCUGGAAUUUAGUUGGAUUCUAACCACUGGAUUUUAGAAAAAAUGUUAGAAUUUUUAGUCUAGGGUGUAAUGGUUUCUGAUUAUUGUGUAGUUCAAUCCUCUGUAUCAAAUCUGUUACUACCUCUGUUGAUUCAUUCAUUCAUUCAUGCAAGGCUUCUUGAUCUAAUCUGGAAUAUGUGUAUCUGUAUGUAGUUUAUACUCCAUCGAAUUGAAGUUGAUUAGUUUUAAUUGAUUUGUGGCUGGACUGUUUGAUGGAAUUCUGGAUGCCGAUGUGUAUUAUUAUAUCUUGAUGUUUGUUGUGUAUGAGGUUUAAUUUUUACUUCAAUUGAGCUGAUCAGCA